AGGACGAACGCUGGCGGCGUGCUUAACACAUGCAAGUCGAGCGGUAAGGCCUUUCGGGGUACACGAGCGGCGAACGGGUGAGUAACACGUGGGUGAUCUGCCCUGCACUUCGGGAUAAGCCUGGGAAACUGGGUCUAAUACCGGAUAUGACCUCCUAUCGCAUGGUGGGUGGUAGGAAAGAUUUAUCGGGUGCAGGAUCGGGGCCCGCGGCCUAUCAGCUUGUUGGUGGGUAAUGGCCUACCAAGGCGACGACGGGUAGCCGACCUGAGAGGGUGACCGGCCACGACGUGGGACUGAGACACGGCCCAGACUCCGUACGGGAGGCAGCGAGGUGGGAAUAUGCACAAGUGGGACGAAAGCCUGAUGCAGCGACGCCGCGUGACGGAUGGACGCCGUUCGGGUUAGUUAAACCUGUUUCCAGCGAGGACGAAGCGCGAAGUCGACGGUACCUGACGAGAAGAACGCAACCGG
rnacentral:rRNA from 1 species